rnacentral:rRNA from 1 species
AUUGAACGCUGGCGGCAUGCCUUACACAUGCAAGUCGAACGGUAACAGGUCUUCGGAUGCUGACGAGUGGCGAACGGGUGAGUAAUACAUCGGAACGUGCCCGAUCGUGGGGGAUAACGAGGCGAAAGCUUUGCUAAUACCGCAUACGAUCUACGGAUGAAAGCGGGGGAUCUUCGGACCUCGCGCGGACGGAGCGGCCGAUGGCAGAUUAGGUAGUUGGUGGGAUAAAAGCUUACCAAGCCGACGAUCUGUAGCUGGUCUGAGAGGAUGAUCAGCCACACUGGGACUGAGACACGGCCCAGCCUCCUACGGGAGGCAGCAGUGGGGAAUUUUGGACAAUGGGCGGAAGCCUGAUCCAGCCAUGCCGCGUGCAGGAUGAAGGCCUUCGGGUUGUAAACUGCUUUUGUACGGAACGAAAAGCCUCUUUCUAAUAAAGAGGGGUCAUGACGGUACCGUAAGAAUAAGCACCGGCUAACUACGUG